rnacentral:rRNA from 1 species
UGCGUAGGCGGGUUUCUAAGUCAGAGGUGAAGGCCUGGAGCUCAACUCCAGAACUGCCUUUGAUACUGGAAGUCUUGAGUAUGGCAGAGGUGAGUGGAACUGCGAGUGUAGAGGUGAAAUUCGUAGAUAUUCGCAAGAACACCAGUGGCGAAGGCGGCUCACUGGGCCAUUACUGACGCUGAGGCACGAAAGCGUGGGGAGCAAACA